rnacentral:lncRNA from 1 species
UUCACCAUCUGGUUCCAGAGAAGCCAAACCAAAUCAUUUACUGCAUAUCUUGCCUUGCUGUAAUUUACAUUUGGCAUCAGGAUGCAGUUGUACUGACUCUUCCCAAUGCAAGAUGCUGGAAGCACAGUAGCUUUGAAUUUCUUCAGUUCAGCUAAAGAGAGAGGGGAAUAAGCUAUAUUCCAAAUAACCUCUGGACUAUGUACUUGAAUUAAGGAACAUAAAGGAGCGAGCAGCACCAUGUAAGCAGCUGUGGACUGGCAUGAAGAUAGAUGGUGUCUGGGACGAGACGGGGCGAAAAGAAGAGAAGAAGCAAAAGGUUUUUUCCAUUGUGGCAGAGCUCUGUCAUGGACGUGGCGUCAGGAGCUAUGGAGGCUGUGCCUGUGGGGAGGGUAGGUUGUGGGGUCUCAGUUCCUUGGGGCAGGGGUUUCCUAUCUGCUGUUGCUCUGGAAAGGGAGCUCCAUUGCUGUUCUCCACGCAUGUGCAAGGACCUACUGCUUCUUGCAGGCUUUUUCUGUCCAAAUGCCUCCAUGCCUAAGGACACCUGCUGGGCCCGGG